rnacentral:lncRNA from 1 species
CACAAACGGUGACAAUUUUCAACCCAAGAAGAGCCUAACUGUUCCAGUUAAGUUAAAACACUUGAUCCACAUGAGAAACUCUUCAUCAAACCCCUAUUGCAUAGUUUUUUGCGCAAAGUUCAUGUCUAAACAUGCUCUACGCUUGAUGGUAAGAUUUCAAGAACUGAGUAAAUUAAAGCUAAAGUUUUGAAAUGGCCAACAGCCACCUGCAGUAUACCCUCCAUCCACAGAAAUAACCUGUCCAUUGAUGUAUGAUGCAGCUGGAAGGCAAAGGAAUGCCACCAUUGAUGAAAUCUCUUCUGGUUCUCCUAUCCUAGGCAUUGCUGUUCCAGCUAUUAGCCUGAGAAAUUCCUCAACGAAAGGGGCG